rnacentral:rRNA from 1 species
UACGGGGGGGGCAAGCGUUGUUCGGAAUUCCUGGGCGUAAAGGGUUUGUAGGUGGCUUGUUAAGUCAGACGUGAAAUCCCUCAGCUCAACUGGGGAACUGCGUCUGAGACUGGUGAGCUUGAGUGCAGGAGAGGAACGCGGAAUUCCAGGUGUAGCGGUGAAAUGCGUAGAUAUCUGGAGGAACACCGGUGGCGAAGGCGGCGUUCUGGACUGCAACUGACACUGAUGAACGAAGGCCAGGGGAGCAAACGGG